ensembl:lncRNA
UACAGUCAGCAUGGCAAUUGCACACUUCCUCAAAACUUGAGACAUCUUUGACAUUGUGUUGUGUGACAAAACUGCACAUUUUUAGAGUGGCCUUUUAUUGUCCCCAACACAAGGUGCACCUGUGUAAUGAUCAUGCUGUCAGGUGCAUAGAUUAUUUUGGUAAAGGAGAAAUGCUCACUAACAGUGAUGUAAACCAAUUUGUGCACAAAUUUGAGGGAAAUAAGCUUUUUGUACGCGUGGAACAUUUCUGGGAUGUUUUAUUUAAGCUCAUGAAACAUGGGAUCAACACAUUACAUGUUGCAUUUUUGUUCAGUAUAAAUUAGGGCCUGCCCUAUACAGACGAUGCUUAAUUUGAUAGAGCCAGACACAGGCAGGGUGGAAGUGGUAGCCUACAUCUCUGAGGGAGGGAGGGCUGGGUCUUGUGUUAGACAUCAGAAAGUAAAACCACAGCACGGCUUAUGUGCUAAAUCUACGGAAGCUAGUUGAAGCAAUAACAGACAAGAAACCUAACACACUUCCUGUCAGAAAUCAGAAGAAUUUUGUUGUAAAAGAUGCUUUCAAAUGUUGCCGAAACGUGUCUCUUGGUAAAUUGACUAACUUAAAAGGCACAGAAAUCUUAUGACAUAUAGUUUGACUUUACCUAUUACCUAGAGAAGAUGGAACAGAACUUUGCUGAUUUGUUAACGGAUGCAUUUUCAGACACAUCCCUCCCAUCUUUCCCUGAAGGAGGGUUUGACUUUGAGCCUCUUGAUUUUGAUGAAGCCAAGACAGAAAUGUCCUCUGGAAGAUUACCAGUGCUGAGAGAGGAAGAGGAAGAUGUGGAUGAAGGACAGGAAGAGGAAGAGCCUGGUGGAGAAACUGGAACUGUACCUGACCCUAUCUCAGUGAAGACAUAUGAUGUGAGUUUGACUGAAGAGGAUACACAACAUAUUGAUGAUGAGGAGAAGUGGGAGGAGGAGGAAGAGGAAGAGGAGGGCAAGGAGGAGGAAGAGGAGGGCAAGGAGGAGGAGGGCAAGGAAGAGGAAGAGGAGGGCAAGGAGGAGGAAGAGGAGGGCAAGGAAGAGGAGGAGGAAGAUGAAGAGAUCACCUCAGGAGAAGAAGAGGACACAGGAAUAGAGAACAUUGGCUCCCCAGGGGGUAGGUCUGUGGUUGUUCACUACGACAAAGAAAAUAUCGUAACUACAGGACAACCUUUUGCCCAAGAGGAUAGGGAAAACCCUAACAUCAGAAACAUAGAGCAAGGUACUUACGAGAACAGUGAUGUGGGUUGUUUUGAGGGUGUUACUGAAGAUGACACCAUGGAGAUCACAGCAGAUAUAAGUGAAGGGAUUAAAGAAGAGGAGAGACUGGCAGCUGAAGAAAACCAAGAGAAAUCAUCUGAUUCAGACCUGGAGGUCCUGACAAGCUCUAUCACUGAAAACCAGAGAGAAGAGGGAAAGAAAGGAGUGAACUUACUCUCCCCACAUUUUCCCCAGGAGAAUGAAGAGGAAGAAGAGCAAGAUGAACCUGGAGCUCCAGAGAUUGUUUCUGAUUGUCCUGAUCCCGCAGCAACACAGAAUCUGCUAUCUAUUAUGGUCAAUACCUUUGUGGAACACCCGCUUGAGGCGAAAAUUAAGGACUUCCUAGGGGAUGACCACCAAGAGGCAGGUGAAAGCUUUGCAGAUUACCCCUCUGACUUCUUUCCAAGUGAAUACGACAAGGAUGGAGGGAAAGGGAGAGAGCGAAACAAAAAUGGGAGCACACUGUCUAGUCCCUCUGAGGGUCAUUUAAAGAUAGACGAGAAUGUCGACCCAGAGAGAGAGACAACCGAGCAGAAGGAUAGCCAUGUACAGGGAGAGGAAGAUGAAAAGGUUGAUGUGAGACCUGCUAUCUCUCUGAGCGUAGAAGGCAAACAAGAUUUUGCAGAUUGUGCGAUGUGUAAUAUCAAUAUUGACAUUAGCAUGAAGAAGAUUAUUGAAAACAAUCUUGAAGCUGAUAGUUCCAGUGAUAGUUCCAGUGAUAGCUCCACUGAUAGCUCCAGUGAUAGUUCCAGUGAGGAUGAGAAGGAUAAUGAAGAACACCCAGCCCUGCCAAGAUACCAGGGUCUUCCUCAGAGAGACUGCAGAUCUGAUGUUUUACCUCUACCUGACUGGGAGGGUGGAGAGGAGAACAUCUCCAAGCAGAGUGUUGCCGACCUGCAUCUUUCAGACACCAUCUCUGAUGUCCCCACUUUUACCCUUCACAGUGAGGCUGGACUCAGUACAGCAGAUGUAACCAGGUGUAACAGGGGUAAGAGGAGUACAGGCAACAUGUCAUCAUCUGACUCUGAGGAUAAUUUUCCGGGAGAAUUUUGUACGUUGGAGACUGAACUAAGAAAGGACAAAGGGGAGACUUGGAUUUGGGGUAAAGAGGAGUAUCUUCGAGAAAUCCAGCCGGAGCUAGAAGGAAAGUUGGAGAACCACCUUCACACCAAUAUAAACUGGGACACAGGGGAAAAUAAGGUGGACAGGAGUGGUUUCAUUCUAGAUUACCAGUACGAGGGGAGCAGAAUCACAGUCGGAGAGGAACAAUUUGCAGAUGAUGAAGAAGAGGAGGAGAGGAGUUGGAAACAAGAGAGAGUGAGAAUCGAGGCAUUCUACAAGUUUUAUAAUGACGAAGAGAAGGAGGCCAUGGAAACAGAAGGUGCUUUUUCAAGGAGGAAGCCUAGAGUUCAGUUCUGCAUGGAUCCCCUGCAUCAAGUCAUUGAAUAUACAGACAGCAGCAGUGACACGGAUUUGGUCGACGGCACAUCUGACAGAGAUGAGGACCUGGAUUCUACAGCAAGGCUUGAAGAGCAGCGUGAGCCUGAGACUCAAGAGAGUCAAAAGCCACAAGGAGAACUACAAGAUCUCAGCAAAAUACCUCGGACACACAGCAAGAGAGACUGGGUAAGUCUUUACCCCACAACUUUCUGUAAAAAAAAAGGGCUUCAUGAAAUUGAUGGGAUUACUCUGACACACUGUGUUUGUGUAGUGUCUGAGGGUGCUGAAGUUCCUGCUGAAGAUGGCCCUUUUGACAUUGAUUGGACUUUUGACAUUCUGGUGGACAACAGACCUAAAGGACUUGGACUGGUGAUCUGGACCAAAUACAGUUUUUUGCAAACGACUGUACUGUAUUGUCAAUAUGCCUAUGCCUGA